AAGGACAAUGGGCACUUUUGUAUGGGGAGUGUCCCAUGGAUGUAUACUGUUGAGACAUAUGUCGUUUUAAAGCUUUUAAUCGUAGUAUUAUUUUAUUGUAUGGCACCAACCUUGGACCACUUGCAGGGACCGAGCUAUAUAAAAAAAGAAGUUGCGCAUAUAAGCAGUUAUAUUUCCUUAUACGCGGGAUAUAAAAAGUUUUAGCGUAUUUUAUUCGAAAGAAUAUAAAAAAUGCUUUAUGUUUUUUGUAUCAACACCAAUGAUAAAGUAUUUAAAGGGACAAAAUGAACAGUUUUAAAAAAUCGUCAUUCUAAAAAUUACUUGAUACACAGCGAAAUAAGAGUGUAUACAAAUGCCAUGUAUAUCAUGUGAAAAGUAUUUUUAUAAGCUAUUUUUCGUAUAAUAUAACUGGGGUCAAAUCGUUGCAGGGACCAAAAUAAAACCAUUUAAUGAGUUAAUUAAUUGUAGUUAAUUACGCCUUAACUUUUCUACUCAACGCCAGAUGUCGCUCUAAAGCAAAAUUCUACUUGACGUAAAACAUUUAUACAUCGCGGUAAUCUCGUCAGUCUUACUCCAUCAUUUUAAAAAGUAUAGACUAGUUUAUGGAUUUCUAAAGUUAUGUCAAGAUGACUCUGAAUGUAAUAUUGUCAACAAUAAUUGUCAAAACACGCAAUUUAAAAUAUUCAACAUUGUAAUUACAAAAUAGUAUAUUUCUAAUACGCUAUAAUUUUCUCCAAUCGAAAGGCACUCCAUUCCAUUGAUCUCAGAGAGUAUGCUCCUUGAUGAUCUUCACUAUUCAUGGGCAUUUUUAAGUUGUUCAUCGGACACUGAGGCCAUUGAAGUUUCAUGCUGGCGGCAUCAAAAUGGAGUACCUAGAAACCAUACGGAAAUAAUGAGGAUGCAUCGACAUAAGAAGAAUCGAACAUGGGCAAGAUAAAGUUCAAGAAAAAAGCGUACUGUGUGUAUAUAAUGUGUACUUGUGUGUAGUCAAAGAAAGUUGAAAAAUAAAGCAUAAUUAAUGGCCAUAGAAUACAGAACCGAUACACGAACAUUAAGACUAUUAAAAAUAGACAUAUAGGUUGAUCGUACUACUCGUACUAAUGUAUUUCUUUUGUUCAAUUAUAGUAUUGCAUUAAAGUUAGAUUCUCUAGAUAUAUAUUAUUCAUAGGUUCUGUAUUCUAUACGAAUUGUUUCAGUGUAAUUAUUGUACUAAAUACCGUUGACCGCCUGUCAACAGUAUUUAUUUCUACAUUACUAUCACAGAAGAUUUUAGGCCCUACAGUAGUUUUUGAAUUAGUAUUUACUAUGGACAAAUAUAGCGAAAUGUGAGUUUUUACCUAAAAUAUCAAUCUUUUGUGAACGUGGUGUAGAGUAUAUACCGCCUAAGACUGAAGUAGCUACGCGGGAAACGUUUUCAAAAUAGAAUCGUGUUCAUGGUCGGCCCAUGGUAAAAAUAAUUAGGUACACGUAGACCCGCUAAAUAAACCCCGUGGACCCACCAGGAGAACAUAUUGGAGAGACUAGAGAUAAUACACCGCUUUAAGGGCGGUCGCACUCGGCAUUGACAUCUGGCGUAUAGAUGGCGGGUGGACCUCAGCGAAUUUCAAAGAAAUAUUUAUAAACAUCCAAUGACGUCCGGCUCGGACACCAGAUCUUCAAUCUCCUGAUUCCUGUGGAGUCUCCAGGUUCCAUCCUCUCCACGUGUGAGUCCUAGGAUUUUUCGCGCUGCCAGACUCCGAUGACUCAGGCACGUAGUCCAGAUGGGUGAGGAUCGUGCAGCCUGGAGGGCGUACUCUGAAGUUCCAAAUGGCCGAAGACCGUCUAGACGUCCUAGGUAGGUACCGCUGGAGAGAUGAAAUGCAAAAAGACCUUAGCGAACUCGGCGCCGUCGACUAGAUGGAAACGGUUUUGGACAGAGAAGCAUGGCGGUCUUUGGUGUCGGAGGCCAAGAUCCACUUCGGGUCGCUGCGCCAUAGCAGUAAGUAAGUAUUUAUAAACAUACUGUACCUUCUGUGUACCUAACCCAAAACGAGAUAUUUAAGAAAAAGUCCACCCGCCAUUCUGACGUCAGGAUUGCGGUUGGACCUAUGAAAUCUUGCAUUAUACCGCACUAAAAGUAUGCAGUUAUAUGGUACAGUCGCCAUCAGAUAUAUCGGAGUGGCCGAGGUGCUCAAAGAUCUCUAAACACGCACUCUAACCUCUCGACAGUAGAGGCAUGUUCAGAUAUUCGUGGGUACCUUGGCCGCUCCGAUAUAUAUGAUGGUGACUGUACCUUCAGUGUACCUCUGUAAAUAGAAAUAGAAACCGGUGUACCUCUCCCCAAAACAAGCUAGGCUAAGCUCAUGCACAAUAUAACUGCAUACUUUUAGUGCGGUAUAAUGCAAGAUUUCAUAGGUCCACCCGCCAUCCUGACGUCAGGUUGGCGGGUGGACCGUUUUGUAAAAUAUCUCGUUUUGGGGAAAGGUACACUGGUUUAUAUUAAAGGUACACUGAGGUACACAGAAGGUACAAUAUGUUUAUAAAUAUUUCUUUGAAAUUCGCUGAGGUCCACCGCCAUCCUGACGCUUACCAUAUAUCUAAGGACCGACCUUAGGGGCAAUAACGAUAGUGCUAGUUCAGCUGUGUCAUUCACAAAUUCGAGCCAAUCGUGCUGUCUAACGCAACUAGAUGCGAUCAAUCGCGUGCAUAAUGCGAACUCAUCAACCAAUCACGUUGUGUUACUUGUGGCGUUAGACUGCACGAUUGGCUCAAACUCGUGUGCGUAACACCGCUGUACUGGCCCCAUUCUUAUUGCCCGUAAGGCCCGUCCUCAGAUAUAUUAUGUCAACGACACAGUCGCGAUUUUAAAAAAUCACAUCGCUUCUGCUACCAAAUUGUUGAGCAUAACGUUUUCCUAUCCAUAGGUUCCAUCUGUCCAGUAGGAUCCACCAUCUCGAUCCACCAGAUUGAAGAGAUUGUUACUUAACUGAUGGAUCGAGAUAAUGAAACCUACUGAAUAGAGCGGGUCGAUUGGAUAUAACAAAGUACGCUUAUAUGAAACGCUACUCCGGUGUGCGAGUGAGACAGUCAGGCCAAUUUGAACUUGCAUUUGACAGAAAACUGACUCCAUCAAACGCUACCAGUUCCAUUGCCGGCCUCUUCGCUGCCUUCUAUAGUGGUUCAAUCUUACCUUGCUUAUGAAUAAAAAGGGGCGUGCACACCGAUAUUAGAGUAAUAUUGGAAUCAUAUCAGUUAGUUGCGGGCGUCUCGCUCGCACAAAUACAUGCGUAUAAGUGCGAAAUGAACACACGAAUGACAGCUAACUGGUAUCAUUCCAAUAUUAUUCUAAAAUUGGUUUAAUGUCAGUUGCACUUUCGAAUUGGCCUACAUAGCGAUUUCCUUAGCCUGCACACCGGAUCGGCGUGUGGGCCGGCAUCUAGCUAAUGUAAAGCCACCUCAUUAGGUGCUUUACAUUAGUUACAAAAUACAAAAGGUUAAGGGCGUUUGCUAGCUGGCGCUAGUGCACGGAGCGGGCAAACACGCGCAGGUGCCUUUGUAAGUAAAAUCAGUCGCACGCGUCCGCGCCAGUUAGCGUUGCUCAUACUGUAAGAGCUCGUUCCCACUAUGUCGGAUGUCGUGGCGAUUUUUAAUCGUACGUUCCACUGGCAGAACAUUUUAUAUGAAGCUGUUCACACUCGUCCGACAACGAUUUUGUGUCGGAUACGACAAAAAAUGUCGUGCGUUUUGCCAGCCCUCCCAGCCCGGAAAAAAAUCGUGUCGUGUCUCGCUCGCGUACGAGUGAAUAUAGCGCUGUUCACAUUUUGUCGGAUGUCGGAACGAUUUCGCCCGCGCCGCCCUCGCGGCACCCCCUCACACACCCGCGCGUCGCUGCCGCGUCGUUGCGAUCGCUUCUUAAUUCAGCUAUCAAAUUCUGAAAUAUUCAUAAGGUAAAUCUUUCCCUGAGAAUUGGGUGUACCCAAUAUCUCCUUUUUUUAACUGCCUCUAAUCGUUUCUUUCGCAAAUAAUACAAAACCACAAACAUUUCGUCGACGUUCAUCUUGUACUAAGCCUCGCUACCCACUCGAAAAAUACACGCCAGCUGCGAUCGUGCACGACAGACGACUAGUGGGAACAGUACCGCCAACACCCGAUUGAAAUCCGGAUCCGACAUCCGACAUAGUGAGAACAGCGGCAACGACACACGAUUAAAAAUCGCCACGACAUCCGACAUAGUGGGAACGAGCUCUAAGCCGCACGCCCGCUCCAUGCACACGCGCGACGUUGCGGACGCCCUAUGCCCUAAACCUUACUUGAAAGUGUGAAGGUUACUCUGACAGCGGCUAUAUCAGCUAUAAUGUAUUUAUGACGCUUUGAGCAUAGCUAGUUACGACGCCUUAAGGUAUUCUUGGCGUUCAAAAGGUUAAGGGCGUUUGCUAGCUGGCGCGAGUGCACGGAGCGGGUGCACGUGCGCGGGUGCCUUUGUAGGUAAAAUUCGUCGCACGCGUCCGCGCCAGCUAGCGUCGCCAGUUACUGUUUUUCGUUAACCCGCUUCAGCUAGCAAACUAAUCGCAAAUGGUCCGAGAUUGGCGCAAUAACCAUGCAUUCCCUUAUCUGGAUCUGGAUGCACCUAUUCACCAAUGCUUGCUUUAAAGGAACUUGUCGACUCGUCCUGAUAAUAUUUGUGCGACCGUGAAGAAAAUCUAUGCCGUCACUUAUUUUUCAAUUUAUAUGAAAUAAAGAUGUUAAAUGUAUUCAAAAGUUUUUAUUUAAUAAAGUAGGUAUGUAUAAGUGCUCUGUGCAUCCGCACCAGCUAGCGGUGCCCUUAGCAAACCAAUCGCAAAUGGUCCGAGAUUGGCGCAAUAACCAUGCAUUCUCUUAUCUGGAUCUGGAUGCACCUAUUCACCAAUGCUUGCUUUAAAUUAACUUGUCGACUCAUCCUGCUAAUAUUUGUGCGACCGUGAAGAAAAUGUAUGCCGUCAGUUAUUUUUCAAUUUAUAUGAAAUAAAGGUGUUAAAUGUAUUCAAAAGUUUUUAUUUCAUAUGUAUAUAUAAUGGAACGAAAUACAGCUACUAUCUUAGCUUGGCAAGCAGUUAAGAGUCGCUGAUGCUUUUAUUGUAUUCACUGCGUUAAUUUUAGGUUUAAGAUUCUUUAUUCUCACUAAGAAUUUGACAAUUCACUUACAUGAGAACUUAAAACUACACAAUUUAAUCCUGCUUCAUAUGGCAAACGAAGGAAACGUUGCUUUGAACCGCGACGCAAUCUCAAAUGUUUCACUUUUACACAAUUUUCCUGCAGAGAGACAAAACAAGUAUGUACAUAGUACCUUUUUACGAUUUAUUUUAUCGUAACAUAUAAACUUAGAUUUAUUUUCUUGCUGCUAAUUAUGGUACUCCAACUACUCCAUAAAUACAUUUACUUACCUACUUAUUGCUUAGGAAUCUUAUUUCAUGUUUAAUAAUAAGUUUAUAUAACGUUUCUAGCGGGACAUAACGCGAACUUUAAAAAAUGUAAUGCUUUUUCUACCUUUAUCACUCGAAUAUGUAAGAGCAAGAGAGAUAAAUAGACGAAACUUACUAGUUCAAGGUAACCACUCGUUUUAUUGUCAAAUUUCCGAAUUAAACAAACUUAUUCUUCGGUAACAUUUUUAGCGUUUAUAAGCGACUAUACGGAUCCAGCAUUUGCCGCUCAUUCGGUUCUCCUAUUGCACGCAAGAUGUCAGUACUAGAGAGGAUUUGAAAAAUCAUAAUUAAGUAGUUUAGUGCCAUUUAUUGAGCAGUAAUAAUUAAAAAAAAUAUAUAAAUUACUUUUUCAUUAUAUUUCAGGCAUGCAAAGUGAUGUAAAUGGUUACAAAAGUAACUCUAUAUGAAUGACAUUUUUUAGUUCCAGUUUACGCCGCAGCGCAUGAUCAAAAUUAUUAAUAUCAUCUUCCCUGGACACUUUCGGUCUUUGGUGUCAUAUAAGUAAUUAAUGCUUAAUUGAAGACCUUCCAAAUAGGAUAUGACUCAAUUGUAUAUACCAAUAGUAAAAAUUACCCAAACUGCUACCAAGGCUCCAUCUAGUGCCAGGUAGAACAAACAAAGCGGCAUUUACCACAAUUAAUUAACGAAAAAACUCGUUUUAUUACCGCCCCUGCAAGCAUUUGAGUGCAAGUAUAUAUAUAUUAAAAUACCUUAUAAAAAUGUCUUUUAAAUGAUAUAUAUGGCUUGAGUAUACAAGCAAGUUUCAGUGUUUAAUAGCAGUAUUUUUAAUUCAAGCAUAUGUUAUAUCAACUAAUUCCAGCCCUGUACGUACUUAAACGUAAGUAGUGGUAAACAGAAAUCUAGAAUUUCUCAUAUUCUUUCAUACAAAACACCUAACAACCGGCUACGUAACAAGUACUUUGUAAAACAACAGUUUAUAUUCGCCACUCUUUUUUUUAAAUUGCUCAGUCCCUGCACGUUAUCCAAAGUUGGUGUCAUACAAUAAAAUAAUGCUAAGAGUAAACCCUUUCAAACGAGAUAUGUCUCAACAGUAUACAUCCAUGGGACAAAUUGCCCAUUCUCCUUUAAACCU